CUGCAGCCAAUUAAGCCGACUGAGUUCCUUUCCUCAUGGGGGCCCAAUGUGCAAAGGCUGCAAACAGCCACUUCCUUGGUAGUGUAUGUAGCUCAUUUCUUGUAUGGGUUGCUCUAAGGGACCUUGGGAGACAGGC
ensembl:snoRNA SNORA70 Small nucleolar RNA SNORA70